UUCUCUAAAGUUAUUAACAUUAGAUUGCAAAUCUAACCACUAGCGAGAAU
rnacentral:tRNA from 1 species